GGUCGCUCGCGCACAACAAAGCUGCUCUGACGUCCCCUUAUCCUGUCUCCAAGGGGGGAGUCCACCACCAUCACUGAUAGCCAAGGAGAAUCCACAUGAACUCCCUCUGUUCUUAACAGCCACUGUUACGACGCAUGAAGGCGUGGCCCCUGACUGGGUACAUCAUCUCGAUGAAGGCAAGGGGCCCCACAGUGAUCUCGCUGGGGCCCUGCGCCUUGAAACCUGACUUCUGGUAGAAGGGAACCAGGAAGUCCUCGCACAUGAGCACAGCGCGGCGGACGUAGGGCAGGCAGCGGAGGUACUGCAGGUAGCGCCACAUCAGGAUGGAGCCUUUGCCCUGCUGGCGGAAGGUCCGGUGGACGGCCAAGACGUGGAUGUGGACGGUGGUCCCAUGAGGCUUAUGGAGAGUCAGGGCAUCCUGGGAAACCGAGAGGGAUUGCAGAGGUUCAUCCUGAGGUAAAUCACUGUCCAGGUGUCCUCCCCUCUGUCUCACCGUGGUAAGCCUCUCCUGGUCCCACAAUGAGCCGAUGAUGAAAGCCACCAGACGUCCUUCCUCGAACCAGCCAAGAGACAGCUCAGGACACAGGGUGAGGAAAUGACGCACCUCGUCCAGGUGGAGAGGACAUUCCCCGGACACUGAGAUGAAGGCUGUGAGGAGGAGGAGGAGUCAGUGUUGUCACAACCAAAUGUUAUAAAUUAAGAAGCCUGGAUGACACAAGUGGGAAUAAUGGUCCCUAUGUACUGAAUACCAAAAAUAUGAAGAUGUGAGAAAAGGAUAUAAGCUGGAUCACAGCCAGGGAUGUUAUGAGGGGGCAUUUAGGAAAGAGUUAAAUCCCUGUAUUAACUUCAAAGUAAGUCAAAUUAAAGAGAAGCUUACUAUUUUCUUUAAAUGUAAUUUAUGUUAAUAAAGGAGAGUUAUUUUCGGUGA